UACGGGAGGCAGCAGUGGGGAAUAUUGCACAAUGGGCGCAAGCCUGAUGCAGCCAUGCCGCGUGUAUGAAGAAGGCCCUUCGGGUUGUAAAGUACUUUCAGUCGUGAGGAAGGUGUUAAGGUUAAUAACCUUAGCAAUUGACGUUAGCGACAGAAGAAGCACCGGCUAACUCCGUGCCAGCAGCCGCGGUAAUACGGAGGGUGCGAGCGUUAAUCGGAAUUACUGGGCGUAAAGGGCACGCAGGCGGUUAAUUAAGUUGGAUGUGAAAUCCCCGGGCUUAACCUGGGAAUGGCAUUCAAGACUGGUUAGCUAGAGUCUUGUAGAGGGGGUAGAAUUCCAUGUGUAGCGGUGAAAUGCGUAGAGAUGUGGAGGAAUACCGGUGGCGAAGGCGGCCCCUGGACAAAGACUGACGCUCAUGUGCGAAAGCGUGGGGAGCAAAC
rnacentral:rRNA from 1 species